rnacentral:rRNA from 1 species
CCUACGGGAGGCAGCAGUGGGGAAUAUUGGGCAAUGGAGGAAACUCUGACCCAGCAACGCCGCGUGAAUGAUGAAGGUCUUCGGAUUGUAAAGUUCUUUUCUAAGGGAAGAAGAAAGUGACGGUACCUUAGGAAUAAGCCUCGGCUAACUACGUGCCAGCAGCCGCGGUAAUACGUAGGAGGCGAGCGUUAUCCGGAAUGACUGGGCGUAAAGGGUGCGUAGGUGGUUUGGCAAGUUAGUAGCGUAACUCCAAGGCUCAACCUUGGAACUACUACUAAAACUGUUGGACUUGAGUGCAGGAGGGGAAACCGGAAUUCCAAGUGUAGCGGGGAAAUGAGUAGAUAUUAGGAGGAACACCAGUGGCGAAGGGGGGUGGUAAGACGGUAACUGACACUGAGGCACGAAAGCGGGGGGAGAAAACAGGAUUAGAUACCCUAGGAGUC